rnacentral:lncRNA from 1 species
AUGCAUGUGUCGCAACGUGACGAAGGGGAUGGUGAGGGUUUUCAGGAACCCCCGGCGGCUGCAGGGGGUAGGACUGGUGACUCUAUAGAGUCGAAUAUACAGGACGGUGGCGGUGGUGGUGGUGGUGGUGGUGGUGGUGUUGUUGACGUUGAUGGUACACCUGCGCCUAUGGCGGCGGGUGAUGAUGAUGACGAGUUGCAUACUAGAUUAUUUCCCCGCUUUAAUGGUUUUGAGGUUAGACAGACCAUUGAUCUGAGAAGUAUAUCCCUAGUAAAUUUACAAGAGGUCCCUGAUUUGAUCAGGGAGAGACUGUCGGGGGUUAUAACAAACUGCUCACAAAGCACAGCCGACGGUAGUGUCUUAAACGUUGUUUUGAGAGGGCCUUCAUUGGCAGCUGAUGUGCAGGCUGUGCUCGUGGCAGGUGAUGAUUACAAUGCGGAUUUGUUUAUGGAUCAUAUUAGCCAAGUCAUACAGAGUAACGACACAGGUCUGACGGAUGAUGUGUUAGAGCUGGUGGUCACAGGGGUCCAUAACAAACGGGGUGGUGGGCGUUUGAAGUUAAAAACAAUUCCCUAUGAUGAGAUCAUAAACAAGAAGAAAUUAAAUCUCUACACACCAAGUAACACACAUAACAAUUUGUGUUUCUCACUAUGCAUGAUACAUUUUCUGCAGGAGGGGGUAACCGGAGGCAGUACAGUGCCCGACGAGACUAAUUUGGAGGCGGCUCACACAUUACAUAGGGAGCUGGGGUACGGUCCAGAUCACUCUGUGGGUUUCUCGGAUGUUUUCAAAUUUGAGAGACAUCUAGAUGUUAAAAUCUUGAUAUUUCAUCAUAAUGAUGCAUUCAAGAAGUUGGAGAUGUUCCAGACGCAUAUGGGCCAACAUCCUAAAACAAUAUGGUUGUACCUGCAUGAUAACCAUUAUCAUUGUAUAGUGAACCGCACGGCUUUCUUUGGUACGCGAUAUGUGUGUGAAUAUUGCUACAAAGCCCACGAGGCCAUUCUAUUCCACAAAUGCCCGGUCCAUUGCAAUGUGUGUCUGACAGUGUGCGAUAGCCUGGCAGGUCGUACUAUAAAGUGCACUGACUGUAGUCGUAUAUGCCGCUCGCAGGUCUGCUACGCCAUACAUACGCAACGUUCUGCCGUACAUAAAAUGAUACCAUGUGAAAAGAUCAAAUACUGUAAUCAGUGUUGUAGACAGUAUAUCAUACCGCAGAAGAAAAAGAAGAGGGGGGAGGAGGAGGAGGAGGAGGAGGAGGAGGAGGAGGAGGAGGGGGAGGAGGAGGAGGAGGAGAAGGCCUAUAAGGGGCAUGUAUGCAGCGUGUCAAAGUGUCAUCACUGCGGUGAACCGAUACCCAGCGACACUGUACAUGAAUGUUUUAUUCAGCCGUACGACCGCCUUAAGAAACGCAAGCGCAAGGGUCGACGCAAAGGUCGGGGGAACCGUUAUACGACGGCUGCACCUGUAGAUGAUGAUGAUGCUGAUAAUAGCCGUUUAUCUGAUGAUUAUGUAACCAACUGUAUUUUUAAAGGUAAUAUAACAAUGCAGUGGUGCAUCAAUCCCAGGUUAUGA